GCGAUUCGACAUGAUCUGAUUUAUUUAUUUCCUUGUUUUCUUUUUUUGUUCUUUUUUAGUUUUAGCUGAAGUAUCAUUGUGUUAUUGUAUAUUUUUGAUUUAAUUUUUGUUGCUAUAGUUUAUUUGUACCGUGAGGGGUCGUUGAAUUUUUUUGUGGAAGUUGAUUUUGUUUGUUGUACCUUGUGUAUCAGGGUUUAUUGAAUCUUAUUAUUUAUUUUUAUUUCCCGAUUUUGGAGGAGUUAAUAGUUCAUGUUGGUUGUUGUUUCAUCAUCAUCAUUAAUGGGUUAUUGGUAGUGAUAUGUUAUUCGUCUUUGUUGGUUUCUGGUUUUCUGAGAAAUGAAUUUAAUUCAUGCGUCUUGUUUAUAGAUUGUUGUUGUUUUAUUUCUUUUUUACUUGGCGUUAAUAUUAAGGGGGAUUAGCUCUUUAUUUUAUUGUUAUAACUUUGUGUUAGUUUGAUGUAGUUCUGUGGAUUUUAUGUUGAUUUUCAAUUUGAUUAUGUUAAAAUUUUAUUUGGUCUUUUUUCUAUUUUUUGUUUGUUUAUUUUGAUUUAUUGGAAUGUUUAUUUUACUUUCUUUUGUUUAGUAAUUAUUAUGGGAUUAGUAAAUUUUAUUUUUGGUUUGUUUAUUUGAUGUUAAUUCCUUCUGAGGAAUUAGGCAAAUUUUUUGUGUCCGCCUGUUUAACAAAAACAUCUUUUCUUGAUAGUUUUUGAAGUAUGGUCUGCCCGCUGACACGUUAGUUGAAGGGCCGCGGUAUUUUGACCGUGCAAAGGUAGCAUAGUCAUUAGUUCUUUAAUUGUGAUCUGGUAUGAAUGGCUUGACGAGACAUGAGCUGUCUUAGGUGUGGAUUAAUUUGUUGAAUUUGUAUUUUGAGUUAAAAUUCUUAGAUGUUUUUAUGGGACGAGAAGACCCUAUAGAGUUUUACAUUAGGUUGUAUGUUCUUUUUGUUUGUCUUCCAUUUUUAUGCUCCUUUUGUUUUGUUGGGGUGAUGGGAGGAAUAUUCUUUAACUCCUCUUUUUAUUGUUAUACUAAUUUGUAUUUGUUUUGAUCCAUUUAUUUUGAUUAUAAGAUUAAAUUACCUUAGGGAUAACAGCGUUAUCUUCCCUGAGAGUUCUUAUUGGCGGGGGGGUUUGCGACCUCGAUGUUGGAUUAAGGUUUAUUUUUGGUGUAGGAGCUGAAUAGAUUAGGUCUGUUCGACCUUUAAAAUCUUACAUGAUCUGAGUUCAAACCGGCGUGAGCCAGGUUGGUUUCUAUCUAUAAUAAAUUUUAUGCCUUAGUACGAGAGGACCGGGUAUUUGGAAUAAUUUUGUUGUUAUUGGGUUAUUGUUAAUGUGGCUAUUUUGGCAGAUAAGUGCGUUGGAUUUAGAAUCUUUU
rnacentral:rRNA from 1 species